AAGUGCAAGAAAUGAAUAAAUAAAAAUU
rnacentral:piRNA from 1 species